rnacentral:lncRNA from 1 species
AAAUUUUGUAUAUUGUUAUCAAGAAAUGAGAAGGUUGAUAGUGUUAUUAGUGUUCUUGUUUUGCUAAAUUUUUAUUGUUAUCAAGAAAUGAGAAGAUUGAUAGUGUUAUUAGUGUUCUUAUCAAGAAACGUUUGACGCUGACCCUUUAGCAAAAUCUCUCAAAAUGAAAGGCAUGCCAUGGGGAAUUCUCCAUGGCUUCUUUCAGUCAAAAAGGAUAUGGAAGAUCACACAAGUCGAUGUAAGCCAUGACCACUGUUCGUUUGAAUUUAUGAUGGUUUUCAAAGGCCACACCAUUGCUCUUCCUAUAUUCGUACGCCAUCUUUAGGACUCUAUUAUGUGGUUAUUUCUUGCUUUUUUUCUUUAGCAUACAAUCUUAUAUUGUUAUAGAAAAAAGAAAGAUUGAUAGUGUUAUUAGUGUUCUUGUUUUCUAAAUUUUGUAUAUUGUUAUCAAGAAAUGAGAAGAUUGAUAGUGUUAUUAGUGUUCUUUUGUAAAUUUUGUAUAUUGUUAUCAAGAAAUGAGAAGAUUGAUAGUGUAUUAGUGUUCUUGUUUUGCUAAAUUUGUAUAUUGUUAUCAAGAAAGAGAAAUUGAUAGUGUUAUUAGUGUUCUUGUUUUGCUAAAUUUUGUAUAUUGUUAUCAAGAAUGAGAAGAUUGAUAGUGUUAUUAGUGUUCUUGUUUGUCUAAAUUUUGUAAUUGUUAUCAAGAAAUGAGAAGAUUGAUAGUGUUAUUAGUGUUCUUGUUUUGCUAAAUUUUGUAUUUGUUAUCAAGAAAUGAGAAGGUUGAUAGUGUUAUUAGUGUUCUUGUUUUGCUAUUUUGUAUAUUGUUAUCAAGAAAUGAGAAGAUUGAUAGUGUUAUUAGUGUUCUUAUCAAGAAACGUUUGACGCUGACCCUUUGAAAUCUCUCAAAAAUGAAAGGCAUUGCCAUGGGAAUUCUCCAUGGCUUUCUGUUCAGUCAAAAGGAUAUGGAAGAUCACAACCAAGUCGAUGUAAGCAUGACCCUGUUUUCGUUUAUUUAUGAUGGUUCAAAGGCACACCAGCUUCUAUAUUCGUACGCACAUCUUUAGGAUUAUUAGUGAGUUAUUUCUUUGCUUCUUUUUCUUAGCAUACUAAUCUGUAUAUUGUAUCAGAAAAAGAAGAUUGAUAGUGUUAUUAGUGUUUUGUUUUUCUAAAUUUUGUAUAUUGUUAUCAAGAAAUGAGAAGAUUGAUAGUGUUAUUAGUGUUCUUUUUUGCUAAAUUUUGUAUAUUGUUAUCAAGAAAUGAGAAGAUUGAUAGUGUAUUUAGUGUUCUUGUUUUGCUAAAUUUUGUAUAUUGUUAUCAAGAAAUGAGAAGAUUGAUAGUGUUAUUAGUGUUCUUGUUUUGCUAAAUUUUGUAUAUUGUUAUCAAGAAAUGAGAAGAUUGAUAGUGUUAUUAGUGUUCUUGUUUUGCUAAAUUUUAUAUUGAUACAAGAAAUGAGAAGAUUGAUAGUGUUAUUAGUGUUCUUGUUGCUAAAUUUUGUAUAUUGUUCAAGAAAUGAGAAGAUUGAUAGUGUUAUUAGUGUUUUGUUUUGCUAAAUUUUGUAUAUGUUAUCAAGAAAUGAGAUAUGAGUGUAUUAGUGUUCUUGUUUUGCUAAAUUUGUAUAUUGUUAUCAGAAAAUGAGAAGUUGAUAGUGUUAUUAGUGUUCUGUUUUGCUUAUUUUGUAUAUUGUUAUCAAGAAAUGAGAAGAUUGAUAGUGUUUAUUAGUGUUUCUUGUUAUCAAGAAACGUUUGACCGCUGACCCUUUAGCAAAAUCUCUCAAAAAUGAAAGGCAUUGCCAUGGGGAAUUCUCCAUGGCUUCUAUUCAGUAAAAUAAGGAUAUGGAAGAUUGUUAUUAGUGUUCUUGUUUUGCAAAAUUUUGUAUAUUGUUAUCAAGAAAUGAGAAGAUUGAUAGUGUUAUUAGUGUUCUUGUUUUGCUAAAUUUUGUAUAUUGUUAUCAAGAAAUGAGAAGAUUGAGAGUGGUAUUAGUGUUCUUGUUUUGCUAAAUUUUGUAUAUUGUUAUCAAGAAAUUAGAAGUUUGAUAGUGUUAUUAGUGUUCUUGUUUUGCUAAAUUUUGUAUAAUUUUAUCAAGAAAUGAGAAGAUUGAUAGUGUUAUUAGUGUUCUUGUUUUGCUAAAUUCUAUAUAUUGUUAUCAAGAAAUGAGAAGAUUGAUAGGGUUAUUAGUAUUCAUGUUUUGCUAAAUAUUGUAUAUUGUUAUCAAGAAAUGAGUAGAUUGAUAGUGUUAUUAGUGUUCUUGUUUUGCUAAAUUUUGUAUAUUGUUAUCAAGAAAUUAGAAGAUUGAUAGUGUUAUUAGUGUUCUUGUUUUGCUAAAUUUUGUAUAUUGUUAUCAAGAAAUGUGAGAAGAUUGAUAGUGUUAUUAGUGUUUCUUGUUUUUGCUAAAUUUUGUAUAUUUUAUCAAGAAAUGAGAAGAUUGAUAGUGUUAUUAGUGUUCUUGUUUUGCUAAAUUUGUAUAUUGUUUCAAGAAAUGAGAAGAUUGAUAGUGUUUAUUAGUGUUCUGUUUGCUAAAUUUUGUAUAUGUUAUCAAGAAAUGAGAAGAUUGAUAGUGUUAUUAGUGUUCUUGUUUUGCUAAAUUUUGUAUAUUGUUAUCAAGAAUGAGAAGAUGUGUGUGUUUUAUUAGUUCUUGUUUUGCUAAUUUUGUAUUGUUCAAGAAAUGGAGAAGAUGAUAGGUGUUUAUUGUGCUUCUUUUGCUAAAUUGUAUAUUGUUUCAAAAAAUGAGAAGAUGAUAGUGUUUUAUGUGUUCUUUUUUUGCUAAAUUUUGUAUAUUGUUAUCAAGAAAUGAGAAGAUUGAUAGUGUAUUAGUGUUCUUGUUUUGCUAAAUUUGUAUAUUGUUAUCAAGAAAUGGAGAAGAUUGAUAGUGUUAUUGUAGUGUUCUUGUUUUGCUAAAUUUUGUAUAUUGUUAUAAGAAAUGAGAGAGUUGAUAGUGUUAUUAGUGUUCUUUGGUUUGCUAAAUUUUGUAUAUUUGUUAUCAAGAAAUGAGAAGUAUGAGAUAGUGUUAGUUAGUGUUCUUGUUUUGCUGAAUUUUUGUAUAUUGUUAUCAAGAAAUGAGAAGAUUGAUAGUGUUAUUAGUGGUUUUCGUUUUGCUAAAUUUUGUAUAUUGUUUCAAGAAUGAGAAGAUUGAUAUGUUAUUAGUGUUCUUGUUUGCUAAAUUUGUAUAUUGUUAUCAAGAAUGAGAAGAUUGAAUAGUGUUAUUAGUGUUCUUGUUUUGCUAAAUUUUGUAUAUUGUUUAUCAAGAAAUGAGAAGUGAUAGUGUUUAUUAGUGUUCUUGUUUUGCUAAAUUUUGUAUAUUUUAUCAAGAAUGAGAAGAUUGAUAGUGUUAUUAGUGUUCUUGUUUUGCUAAAUUUUGUAUAUUGUUAUCAAGAAUAGAAGAUUGAUAGUGUUAUUAGUGUUCUUGUUUUGCUAAAUUUUGUAUAUUGUGUCAAAGAAAUGAGAAGAUUGAUAGUGUUAUUAGUGUUCUUUGUUUGCUAAAAUUUGUAUAUUGUUAUCAAGAAAUGAGAAGAUUGAUAGUGUUAUUAGUGUUCUUGUUUUGCUAAAUUUGUAUAUUGUUUAUCAAGAAAUGAGAAGAUUGAUAGUGUUAUUAGUGUUCUUGUUUUGCUAAAUUUUGUAUAUUGUUAUCUAAGAAAUGAAGAAGAUUGAUAGUGUUAUUAGUGUUCUUGUUUUGCUAAAUUUUGUAUAUUGUUAUCAAGAAUAAUGAAGUACGAUAGUGUUAUUAGUGUUCUUGUUUUGCUAAAUUUUGUAUUAUUGUUAUCAAGAAAUGAGAGAUUGAUAGCUGUAUUAGUGUUCUUGUUUUGCUAAAUUUUGUAUAUUGUUAUCAAGAAAUGAGAAGAUUGAUAGUGUUAUUAGUGUUCUUGUUUUUUUGCUAAAUUCUAUAUAUUGUUAUCAAGAAAUGAGAAGAUUGAUAGGGUUAUUAGUAUUCAUGUUUUGCUAAAUUUUGUAUAUUGUUAUCAAGAAAUGAGAAGAUUGAUAGGGUUAUUAUUGUUCUCGUUUUGCUAAAUUUUGUAUAUUCUUAUCAAGAAAUAAGAAGAUUGAUAGUGUUGUUAGUGUUCUUGUUUUGCUAAAUUUUGUAUAUUGUUAUCAAGAAAUGAGAAGCUUGAUAGUGUUAUUAGUCGUCUUGUUUUUCUAAAUUUUGUAUAUUAUUAUCAAGAAAUGAGAAGGUUGAUAGUGUUAUUAGUGUUCUUGUUUUGCUAAAUAUUGUAUAUUGUUAUCAAGAAAUGAGAAGAUUGAUAGUCUUAUUAGUGUUCUUGUUUUGCUAAAUUAUGUAUACUGUUAUCAAGAAAUGAGAAGAUUGAUAUUGUUAUUAGUGUUCUUGUUUUGCUAAAUUUUGUAUAUUGUUAUCAAGAAAUGAGAAGAUUGAUAGUGUUAUUAGUGUUCUUGUUUUGCUAAAUUUUGUAUAUUGUUAUCAAGAAAUGAGAAGAUUGAUAGUGUUAUUUGUGUUCUUGUUUUGCUAAAUUUUGUAUAUUGUUAUCAAGAAAUGAGAAGAUUAAUAGUGUUAUUAGUGUUCUUGUUUUGCUAAAUUUUAUAUAUUGUUAUCAAGAAAUAGGAAGGUUGAUAGUGUUAAUAGUUUUCUUGUUUUGCUUAAUUUUGUAUAUUGUUGUCAAGAAAUGAGAAGAUGAUAGUGUUAUUAGUGUUCUUGUUAUCAAGAAACGUUUGAAGCUGACCCUUUAGCAAAAUCUCUCAAAAAUGAAAGGCAUUGCCAUGGGGAAUUCUCGAUGGCUUCUAUUCAGUCAAAUAAGGAUAUGGAAGAUCACAACCAAGUCGAUGUAAGUCAUGACGUGAGUUAUUUCUUUGCUUCUUUUUUCUUAGCAUACUACUCUGUAUAUUAUUAUCAAGAAAUGAGAAGAUUGAUAGUGUUAUUAGUGUUCUUGUUUUGCUAAAUUUUGUAUAUUGUUAUCAAGAAAUGAGAAGAUUGAUAUUGUUAUUAGUGUUCUUGUUUUGCUAUAUUUUGUAUAUUGUUAUAAAGAAAUGAGAAGAUUGAUAGUGUUAUUAGUGUUCUUGUUUUGCUAAAUUUUGUAUAUUGUUAUCAAGAAAUGAGAAGAUUGGUAGUGUUAUUAGUGUUCUUGUUUUGCUAAAUUNNNNNNNNNNNNNNNNNNNUGCAAGAGGAAAUUUCUUUCUCUUGAAAAAUGCAAGGCUUGCCAUGUACUGUGCGAAUCCCAUAGAGCUUCCUCCUAGUUUUCAGUCCAGAAACUCUUAAGUUGGGAUAUGGAAGAUCACAACCAAGUCGAUGUAACUCAUACGCACUGUCGUUGAUUAUGAUGGAUUCAAAGGCCACACCACUGCUUUCUAAUCCGUACGUCAACAUCUUUGAGGACGUCUAUUACGUGAGUUAUUCUUUGCUUCCCCUUUUUCUUAGCAUACUUAUCUAUAUAUUUUUUAUCAAAGGAUAAUAGUAAGAUUGAUAGUGUUAUAGUGUCGAUUGUUUUGCCUAAUUGUUGCGUAUAUGUAUCCAUACUCCAAAGAGAAGAUUGUAAUAUUAGUUAGUGUUCGUGUCUUUUGCUAAAAUUUUAUUUAUCAAGAAACGAGAGAGGAUUGAUAGUGCUGAUUUUAGUAGUUUCUUGUUUACGUAAAAUUGUAGACUUAUUUCAAGAAAUGAGAAAGAUUGAUAAAUGUUAUUAGUUUUGCUUGUUUUGCUUAAAUUUGCUGAUGUUAUCAAGAAAUAUAGAUGAUAGUGUUAUUAGUGUGCUUGUUUUUCUAAAUUUGUAUAUUUAUUCAAGAAAUGAGAAGGUUGAUAAGUAUUUAAGUUUCUUGUGUUGCUAAAUUUUUAUAUUGUUUUUAGCAAAGGAAAUUGAGAAGGUUGAUAGUGUUAUUAGUAUUCUUGUUUUGCUACAAUUUUGUUAUUGUUACUCAAGAAAUGAGAAGAUGAUAGUGUUAUUUAGUGAUUCUUGGGGUUUACAAAGGAAACGUUGACGUCUGACCUAUGCUCUCAUUAAAAUUCUCUGGGAAAAAUGAACAGCAUUGCCUAGAGAAGUUUCCAUGCUGCUCUUCAGUCAAAUAAGGGAUAUGGAAGAUUCACAACCAAGCGAGUAUAGCCAUGAGCGCUACUAAUUUCGUUGGAAAUUAUGAUGGCUUCAGAACGCCACACGCUGUCUUCCUUUUUAUCCGUGACGCACAUCUUUAGGACCUUCUAUUCGGGGAGUUAGUGUCUUUGCUUUCUUUUUUCUUAGGCUAUACUUUAUCUGUAGGUAUUGUUCAUUCCAAUAUUAAGCUAGAUUUUGAGAUAGUGUGGUUUAGUGUUCUUGUUUUGCUAAAUUAUAUAUUGUUAUCAAGUAAAUGAGAGAGUGGAUAAGUGUUAUUGGUGGUUUCUUGUUUUGCUAAAUGUGUGGUAUAUUGUAUCAAGAAAUGUAGAAGAUUUGAAGUGUUAUUUGUGUUCUUGUUGUGACUAAAUCUACUAAACAAUUUGUCUUAUUGUUAUCAAGAAGAUGAGAAGAUUGAUAGUGUUAUUAAUGUUGUGAGUUGCUAAAUUUGGCUUUUGUUACUCAAGAAAUCGAGAAAGAUUGAUAGUCGUUAUUAGUGUUCUUGUUGCUAAAUUUUGUAUAUUUUACCCAAAGAAAUGAUGAAGAUUGAUAGUUGUUAUUAGUGGUUCUUGUUUUGCUAAAUUGGUAUAUUGUUAUCAGAAAUCGAAGAAGGAUUUAUAGUGUUAUUAGUGUUCUUGUUUUGCGUUAAAUUGUAUAUUAUUAUCAAGAAAUGAGAAGGUUGAUAGUCGGGUAGUUAGUGUCUCUCUCGUUUUGCUAAAUUUUGUUAUGUUAUCAAGGAAAUGAGAAGAUUGAUAGUGUUAUUAGUGUUCUUUUAUUAUUUCAAGAAACGUUUCGAAGCUGACCCUUGAUAGCGAAAUCUCUCAAAAGAAAGCAUGCACAUAAAGGACGAAAUUCUCCAAUUGGCUUUGCUAGUCAUCAAAAAGGAAUGGAAGACACAACCAAAGUGGCUAUGUAAGUCAUGACGCACUGUUCGUUUGAAUUUAGUGUAUGGCUUCACAAGGCCACACCCCGAACGCUUCCUGAUAUUGCGGUACGGCCACAUCUUUAGGACUCUAUUACGUCGAGUUAUUUCUUUGCUUCUUUGGUUUCUUAGCAGACUAACUACUGAUCUAUUGUUAUCAAGAAAUGAGAAAAAGAUAUGAUAGUGUUAGUAGUGUCAAUGUGUUUCGCUAAAUUUUGUAUAUUGUUAUCAGAAAUGAGAAGGAGUUUCUAGUGUUCAUCUAAGCUGUUCUUGUUUUUUCUGUAAUUAGUUAUAUUGUGUAUCAAGAAAUGAGACGAUUGAUUAGUUGAUUACCGUGUUCUUAUUAUUGCCUAAAUUUUGUAUAUUGUUUCAAGAACAUAGAAGAUUGAUAAUUUAUAGUGUUUUCUCUGUUUGCUAAUUUGUAUACGUAUAUUCAAUGAAUAGGAAGGAUUGAUAGUGUUAUUAGUGUUCUUGUUUGCUAAACUUUCGUGUAUAUUGUAUAUCCAAGCAAAUGAGAAUGAUUAUAGUUGUUAUUAGUGUUCUUGUUUUGCGCUAAAUUUGUAUAUGUUAUCAAGAAAUGAGAAGAUUGAUAUGUGUUAUUAUGUUGUUCUUGUUUUGCUAAAUUACUGUAUAUUGUAUCAAAAAAUGAGAAGAUUUGAUAGCUAGUUAUUGUGUUCUUUCUCGUGUUUUGCUAAAUUUGUAUAUAUGUUAUCAAGAAAUAGGAAGUUGAUAGUGUUAUUAGCUGUUCUUGGUUUUUAUAAAUUAUUGUAUAUUUAUGUAAGAAAUGAGAAGAUUGAUAUGUUAUUAGUGUUCUUGUCUUUUUUGCUAAAUUUGAUAUUGUAUCAAGAAAUGGAGAACUGAUUGAUAGUGUUUAGUGUUUAGUCAUUGUUUUGCUAAUAUGUAUACUUUGUAUCAAGAAAUGAGAGAUUGAUAGUUGAUAGGUGUUCUUGUUUUAGCUAAUAUUGUAUAUUGUUAUCAAGAAAUGAGAAGCAUUGAUAGUGUUAUUAGUGUUCUUGCUUUUGCCUAAAUUGUAUAUUGUUAUCAAGAAAUGAGAAGAUGGAUGAUAGUGUUAUUAGUGUUCUAUUUUUUGCUAAAUUUUCGCUAUAUUGAUUAUCAAGAAAUGAGAAGAUUGAUAGUGAUUUAGUGUUCUUCUUUUGCUAAAUUUUGUUAUAUUGUUUAUUAUCAAAAAGUGAGAAGAGUGAUAGAUUAGUUGUCGUUCUUGUUUUGCUUAAUUGGUAUAUUGUUAUCAAGAAAUAGAGAAGAUUGAUUAGUGUUAUUAGUGGUUUCUUGUUUUGCUAAAUUUGUAUAUUGUGUAUCAAGAAAUUGAGAGAUUGAUAGUGUAUUAGUGUUCUGUUUUGCUAAAUUUGCGUAUAUUGUUAGCAAGAAGUGAGCAAGGAUUUACUAGUGUUAUUAGGUUUCUUGUUAUUGCUAAAUUUUUGUAUAAUUAUUAAUCAAGAGAAUCGAGAAGGUUGAUAGUGGAUUAGUGCUUUCUUUUUUGCCUUAAAUUUUGUAUAUGCUUAUCUUAAUGAGAAUGAGAAGAUUGAGUGUGAUAAGUGAUUUCUAUGUUUUGCUAAUAUUUCCGUAAUAUUUUUAUCAAGAAAUGUAGAAGAUUUGAUAGUUGUAUAGAUGCCUUCUGUGUGUGCUCUAAAUUUGUAUAUUGUUACAAGAGAGAGAACAAGAUUGAUAGUGUUAUGGUGGGGUAGUGUUCUUGUUUGCUAUAAUUUGGCUAUAUUGUUAUCAAGAAAUAGAAAUUUAGAGGUAUUAGUGUUCUCGUUUUUGCAAAUUUUGUAUAUUAUUAUCAGAAUGAGAAGGUUGAUAGUGUUAUUAGUGUUCGUGUUUUGCUAAAUUUUGUUAUUGUUAUCAAGAAAUGAGAGAAUUGAUAGUGUUAUUAGUGUGCUAUAUCAAGAAACGUUUGACGACUGACCCUUUAGCAAAAAUCUGCUCAAAAAGUUGAAAGGCCCAUUGAUAGGGAAUUCUCCAGUGGCAUUCUAUCACCCCAAAUCAAGGAUAUGAAGCAUCAAAGCAGAACCAAGUCUUAUGUAAGCUAUGACGCACUGUUCGUUUGAAAUUUAUUGAUGGUCUUCAAAGGCCACACAGACUGCUUCCUAUAUUCGUAGCACAUCUUUAGGACACCUCCUAUACGUGGAGUUAUUUUCUUUGUUCUUUUUUCUCCUUUAGCAUACUAAUAUGUAACGGUUAGCAAAGAAUAGAGAAAGAAUUGAUAGUGUUAUUAGUGUUCUUUCUGCCCUAAUUGUAAUGUGUUAGUCAGAAAUGAGAAGAUUGUAGUGUUAUAGUUGUUCUCUCUUGCUAAAUUGGUAUAUUUUAUCAGAAAUGAGAAGAUUUAUAGUGUAUCUCCUGCUCUUGUUGUGCUAAUUCUCGUAUAUUAUUAUCAUAGUAAAUGAGGAAGCGUUGAUAGUGUAUUAGUCGUUCUUGUUAUGGCAUAAAAUAUUUAUUCUCUUGUAUAUUGUAGUUCAAGAAAAUGAGAGAUUGAGUGGUUAAUAAUUGUUCUUGUUAUUGCUAAAUUUGGAUAUUGUUUCAAGAAAUGAGAAGAUUGAUAGUCGUUAUUAGUGUUCUUGUUUUGCUAAAUUUUGUAUAUUGUUUACCCAGAAGAGAGAGCAUGUUGAUAGUGUUAUUAGUGUGCCUUUGCUAUUGUAUAUUGGUAUCAAGAAAUGAGAAGAUUGUUAUAGUGUUAUUAGUGUUUCGUUUUUGCUAAAUUUGUAUGAUUAUUUAUCAAGAAAUGAGAGGUUAUGUAGUUUAUUAGAUGUUCUUGUUUUGCAAAUUUGUAUAUUGUAUCAAGAACAUGAGAAGGAUGGGAUAGUGUUAUUUAAGUGUUCUGAUUAUCAAGAAAACGUUUGACGCUUGACCCUUAGCAAAAUCCUCAAAAUAUGAAAGGCAUUUGGCCAGUCGGAAUCUCAUGGCUUCUAUUCAGUCAAAUAAGGAAUAUGGAAGAUUCAGCACACCUAAGUCUUGUCCAAGUCAUGAACGCACUGUGUCGUGUUGAAGUGAGGAGAUGGCUUCAGAAGCGCCACACACUGCUUCCUAUGAUUCGUACGCACAUCUGUGGACUCUAUUGGUACGUGAGUUAUUUCUUUGCUUCUUUUUUCUAGCAUACUAAUAUGUAUAUGUUUAUCAAGAAUGAGAAGAUGAUCAGUUGUUAUUAGUGUUCUUGUUUGCUAAAUUUUUGUAUAUUAGGUUAUCAAGAAAUGAGAAAGAUGAUAUGUAAAGAUGUUCUUGCUUUGCUAAGUUUUGUAUUUUUAUCAAGAAUGAAGACGAUUGAUAGUUGUGAUUAGUGUUCUUAUUUUGCCUCAACAUUUCGCUCCUCCUUGUUAACAGAAAAGGAUGAUUGAUGAGAUGUUAGAGUGUUCCUUGUUUUGCCUAAAUUUUGUAUAUCGUAUCAAUAAAUGAGGAAGAUUGAUAGUGUUUUAUUAGUGUUCUUGUUUGUGUAAAUUUUGUAUAUUGAUAUCAAAGAAAAUGGAGAAGAUGAUAGUGGUUAUUAGUUUCUUGUUUUGCCCUUAAUUUUGUAUAUUGUUAUCAAGAAAAUGAGAAGAAUUGAUAGUGUUAUUUGUGUUCUUGUUUUGCUAAAUUUUUAGUAUAUUGUUAUCAAAAAAUCAGAAGAUGAUAGUCGUUAUUAUGUUCUUGUUUGCUAAAUUUUGUAUAUUGUUAUCAAAGAAAAUAGAAGGUUGAUAUUAUUAGUUUUCUGUUUUGUUUAAUUUUGUAUAUUGUUUAUCAAGAAAUGAGAAGAUAAGAUUGAUAGUGUUAUUUGUGUUCUUGUUUUGCUAAAUUUUGUAUAUUGUUAUCAAGAAAUGAGAAGAUUAAUGGUGUUAUUAGUGUUCUUGUUUUGCUAAAUUUUAUAUAUUGUUAUCAAGAAAUAGGAAGUUUGAAAGUGUUAAUAGUUUUCUUGUUUUGCUAAAUAUUGUAUAUUGUUAUCAAGAAAUGAGAAGAUUGAUAGUGUUAUUAGUGUUCUUGUUUUGCUAAAUUAUGUAUAUUGUUAUCAAGAAAUGAGAAUAUUGAUAUUGUUAUUAGUGUUCUUGUUUUGAUAUAUUUUGUAUAUUGUUAUAAAGAAAUGAGAAGAUUGAUAGUGUUAUUAGUGUUCUUGUUUUGCUAAAUUUGGUAUAUUGUUAUCAAGAAAUGAGAAGAUUGGUAGUGUUAUUAGUGUUCUUGUUUUGCUAAAUUUUGUUUAUUGUUAUCAAAAAAUGAGAAGAUUGAUAGUGUUAUUAGUGUUCUUGUUUUGCUAAUAUUUGUAUAUUGUUGUCAAGAAAUUAGAAGAUUGAUAGUGUUAUUAGUGUUCUUGUUUUGCUAAAUUUUGUAUAUUGUUAUCAAGAAAUGAGAAGAUUGAUAGUGUUAUUAGUGUUCUUGUUUUUCUAAAUNNNNNNNNNNNNNNNNNNNNNNNNNNNNNNNNNNNNNNNNNNNNNNNNNNNNNNNNNNNNNNNNNNNNNNNNNNNNNNNNNNNNNNNNNNNNNNNNNNNNNNNNNNNNNNNNNNNNNNNNNNNNNNNNNNNNNNNNNNNNNNNNNNNNNNNNNNNNNNNNNNNNNNNNNNNNNNNNNNNNNNNNNNNNNNNNNNNNNNNNNNNNNNNNNNNNNNNNNNNNNNNNNNNNNNNNNNNNNNNNNNNNNNNNNNNNNNNNNNNNNNNNNNNNNNNNNNNNNNNNNNNNNNNNNNNNNNNNNNNNNNNNNNNNNNNNNNNNNNNNNNNNNNNNNNNNNNNNNNNNNNNNNNNNNNNNNNNNNNNNNNNNNNNNNNNNNNNNNNNNNNNNNNNNNNNNNNNNNNNNNNNNNNNNNNNNNNNNNNNNNNNNNNNNNNNNNNNNNNNNNNNNNNNNNNNNNNNNNNNNNNNNNNNNNNNNNNNNNNNNNNNNNNNNNNNNNNNNNNNNNNNNNNNNNNNNNNNNNNNNNNNNNNNNNNNNNNNNNNNNNNNNNNNNNNNNNNNNNNNNNNNNNNNNNNNNNNNNNNNNNNNNNNNNNNNNUGUUCUUGAGAUUUACCUGUAUAUUGUUAAUGAAGAAAUGAAGAAGAUUGAUUUAGUGUUAUUAGUGUCUUGUUUUGCUAAAUUUUGUAUAUUGUUAUCAAGAAUGAGAAGAUUGAUAGUGUUUAUUAGUGGUUCUUGUUUUGCUAAAUUUUGUAUAUUGUUAUCAAGAAAUGAGAAGAUUGAUAGUGUUUAUUAGUGUUCUUGUUUUGCUAAAUUUUGUAAUUUUGUUAUCAAGAAAAUGAGAAAGGUAGAUGUUAUUAAGUGUCUUGUUUUGGCUAAUUUUGUAUAUUGUUAUCUAAGAAAUGAGAAGAUUGAUAGUGUUAUUAGUGUUCUUGUUUUGCUAAAUUUGUAUAUUGUUAUCAAAGAAAUGAGAAAGAUUGAAUAGUGUUAUUAGUGUUCUUGUUUUGGCUAAUUUUGUAUAUUUGUUAUCAAGAAAUAGAAGAUUGAUAGUGUUAUUAGUGUUCUUUUUGCUAAAUUUUGUAUAUUGUUAUCAAGAAAUGAGAAGAUUGAUAGUGUUAUUAGUGUUCUUGUUUGCUAAAUUUUGUAUAUUGUUAUCAAGAAAUGAGAAAGAUUGAUAGUGUUAUUAGUGUUCUUGUUUUGCUAAAUUUUGUAUAUUGUUAUCAAGAAAUGAGAAGAUUGAUAUGUGUUAUUAGUGUUCUUGUUUUGCUAAAUUUUUGUAUAUUGUUAUCAAGAAAUAGAGAAGAUUGAUAGUGUUAUUAGUGUUCUGUUUUGCUAAAUUUUGUAUAUUGUUAUCAAGAAAUGAGAAGAUUGAUAGUGUUAUUAGUGUUCUUGUUUUGCUAAAUUUUGUAUAUUGUUAUCAAGAAAUUGAGAAAGAUUGAUAGUGUUAUUAGUGUUCUUGUUUUGCUAAUUUUUUGUAUAAAUUGUUAUCAGAGAAAUGAGAAGAUUGAAGUGUUACUAUAGUGUUCUUGUUAUCAAAACAUUAACAGCUGACAAUCCCUUUACCAAAUCUCCCAAAUGAAAGGCAUUGCGCAUGGGAAUUCUCCAUAGCUCUGUUAGUGCAGAAUAUGGGAUAAUGUGGUAUAGAUACACAAACUAGGACGGAUGUAGCCAUGACGCACUGUAUCGUUCGGGAAUUUAUGAUGGCUCUCAAAGGCCACACCGCCGCUGGCUUCCUAUAUCCCGUACGCACAUCUUAGGACGCGGGUAUUACGUGAUUUAUUUUUUUGCUCUUUAACCACUUACCUGUAUACUUGUUAUGAGAAAUGAAAGGAUUUAUAGUGUUAUUAGUGGUUCUGUAAAUUGCGCUAAAUUUGUAAUAAUGUCUAAAGAAAAUGAGAAGAAUCUGAUAGUUUAUUAGUGUUCUUGUUUGCUAAAUUUGGUAUAUGUGUCAGAAAUAAGGAAGAUUGAUAUGUUGUAGUGUUCUGUUUUGCUAAAUUGUAUAGUUAUCACAGAAAUGAGAAAGAUUGAUACUUAUUAUUUCUUUUUUGCCAAAUUGUAUAUUAUAAAAUGAGAAAUGAUGGUAUAUUAUUGUGUUGUUGUUUUGCUAAAUUUUGUACUAUCUAGUUAUCAUGAAAUUAGAGAUUAUAUAGGUCGUUGGAAUUGUAAUUUCUGUCUAUGUUAAUCUUUUGCUAAAUUGUAUAUUGUUAUCAAGAAAUGAAAAUGAUUUUAUUUUUUGUGUUCUAAUUUGGUUAUGGCUGAAAUAAGUGAUAUUAUUGUGUUGUCAAAAAUGAUAUCUGACAAUAAAUGAUAGAUUAAAUGUCUGUGUUUUGCUAAAUUUGUAUACAUGUUAUCCUAAAAAUGAGAACAUGGAUAAGUGUUACAUAGUGUUCUUACGUUUGUUGGAAAUUUGUAUAUUGUUAUCAGAAUGGAAGAAUUGAAUAGUGUUAUUAGUGUUCUUGUUUUGCCUAAUUUUUGUAUAUUUUACAAGAAAUGAGAAAUGAUAGUGUAUUAGUGUUCUUGUGGUUUGCUAAUUUGUCAUAAUGUUAAUCCAGAAAGAGAAAUCUGAUCAUGUAUAUAGUUCUUGUUUGGCUACAAAUUUGUUAUUAUUAUCAAGAAAAGAAUAGUUAUAGUUUCUUUGUUUUGCUAAAUUUGUAAUAUUUUGUCAAGAAAAUAAAAUUGAUAGUUAUUAGUGCUUGUUGCAAACUUUAUAAUUGUUAUCAAGAAUGCAAAAGAUCGGAUAGCUGUUAUAGUUUCUUGUGUUUGCUAAUAUUUGUAUAUUCUUUACAGGAAAUAGAAGAUAGAUAUGGUUAUAGUUCUUGUUUGCUAAAUUGUGCUAUAUGAUUAUCAAGAAAUGAAAAAAACUUGGAUAGUGUUAUAUAUGUUUCUGUUUUUGCUAAAUUUAAGUUAUUGUUACCAAGAAGAGAAGAUUUGAUAGUGUUAUUAGUCGUUCUGUUUUGCUAUUUGUAUGAUGGUUUGCAAGAAAUAGCAAGAUUGGAUAGUGUUAUAGUGUCUUCGUUUGCUAAAUUAGUCAUAUUGUUCAAAGAAAUGAGAAAUUGAAGUAUGUCGGUUCAAAUGUAUUUAUAAGAGAUGUUGUACCUGCUUUUGCUAAAUUGUUGUAUAAUUGUAUCAAUGAAAAAAGAUGAAAUGUUGAUUAGUGUCUCUUGUUUUGCUAAAUAUUGUAUAUUGUUAUCAAGAAAGAAGAGAUUGAUAUGUUGUUAGGUUCUUAGUUUUGCUAAUUUUGUUAUCAUGUUUAUAAAGAAAUGAGAAGAUUGAUAGUUUAUUAAGUGUUCUUGUUCGUAAAUUUGUAAUUUAUUUCAAGAAAUGAGAAAGUGAUAGUGUUAUUAGUGUUCUGUUUGCCUAAAUUUUGUAUAUUGUUAUCAAGUAAAAAUGAGAAGAUUGAUAUUAAUUAGUUUAUUGUUUGCUAAAUUUGUAUAUUGUUAUCAAGAAAUCAGAAGAUGAUUAGUGUUAUUAGUGAUCUUUGUUUCCCUAAAUUUUGUAAUAUCUUAUCAAGAAAUGAGAAAUGAAUGUUUAUAGUGUCUUGUUUGCUAAAUUUUAUAUAUUUUAUCAAGAAAUAGAAGAUGAAGUGUUAAUUAGUGUUCUUGUUUUGCUAAAUUUUGAUUAUAUUUGUCAAGAAAUGAGAAGAUUGAUAAAUGUUAUUAGUGUUCUUGUUUGCUAAAAUUUUGUAUAUUGUUAUCAAGAAAUGAGAAGAUGAUAGUGUAUAUAGUGUUUCUUUUGUUUUGCUAAAUUUUGUAUAUGUAUACAAAAAUUAGAAGAUCGAUAGUGUUAUUAGUGUUCCUUGUUUUGCUAAAUUUUGUAUAUUGUUAUCUCAAAGAAAUGAGAAGAUUGAUAGUGUUAUUAGUGUUCUUGUUUUGCUAAAUUUUGUAUAUUGUUAUCAAGAAAUGAAGAAGAUUGAUAGUGUUAUUAGUGUUCUUGUUUUGCUAAAUUUUGUAUAUUGUUAUCAAGAAAUGAGAAGAUUGAUAUGUUAUUAGUGUUUGUUUUUGCUAAAUUUGUAUAUUGUUAUCAAGAAAUAGAAGAUUGAUAGUGUUAUUAGUGUUCUUGUUUGCUAAAUUUUGUAUAUUGUUAUCAAGAAAUGAAGAGAUUGAUAGUGUUAUUAGUGUUCUUGUUUUGCUAAAAUUUUGUAUAUUGUUAUCAAGAAAUGAGAAGAUUGAUAGUGUUAUUAGUGUUCUUGUUUUGCUAAUUUUGUAUAUUGUUAUCAAAGAAAUGAGAAGAUUGAUAUGUUUUAGUGUCUUCGUUUUGCUAAAUUUUUGUAUAUUGUAUCAAAGAAAUGAGAAGAUUGAUAGUGUUAUUAGUGUUCUUGUUUGCUAAAUUUUGUAUAUUGUUAUCAAGAAAUGAGAAGAUGAUAGUGUUAUUAGUGUUUCUUGUUUUGCUAAAUUUUUGUAUAUUUUUAUCAAGAAAUGAGAGAUUGAUAGUGUUAUUAGUGUUUGUUUUGCUAAUUUGUAUAUUGUUAUCAGAAAUGAGAAGAUUGAUAGUGUUAUUUAGUGUUCUUGUUUUCCUAAAUUUUGUAUAUUUUAUCAAGAAAUGAGAAGAUUGAUAGUGUUAUUAGUGUUCUUGUUUGCUAAAUUUUAUAUUGUUAUCAAGAAAUGAGAAGAUUGAUAGUGUUAUUAGUGUUCUUGUUUUGCUAAAUUUUGUAUAUUGUUUUCAAGAAAUGAGAAGAUUGAUAGUGUUAUUAGUGUUCUUGUUUUGCUAAAUUUUGUAUUAUUGUUAUCAAGAAAAUGAGAGAUGAUAUGUAUUAGUGUUCUUGUUUUGCUAAAUUUGUAUAUUGUUAUCAAAGAAAUGAGAAGAUUGGAUAGUGUUAUUAGUGUUCUUGUUUUGCUAAAUUUUGUAUAUUGUUUCAAGAAAUGAGAAGAUUGAUAGUGUUAUUAGUGUUCUUGUUUUGCUAAAUUUUGUAUAUUGUUAUCAAAGAAAUGAGAAGAUUGAUAGUGUUAUAGUGUUCUUGUUUUGCUAAAUUUUGUAUAUUGUUAUCAAGAAAUGAGAAGAUUGAUAGUGUUAUUAGUGCUUGUUUUGCCUAAAUUUUGUAUAUUGUUAUCAAGAAAUGAGAAGAUUGAUAGUGUUAUUAGUGUUCUUGUUUUGCUAAAUUUUGUAUAUUGUUAUCAGAAAUGAGAAGAUUUGAUAGUGUUAUUAGUGUUCUUGUUUUGCUAAAUUUUAUAUUGUUAUCAAGAAAUGAGAAGAUUGAUAGUGUUAUUAGUGUUCUUGUUUUGCUAAAUUUGUAUAUUGUUAUCAAGAAAUGAGAAGAUUGAUAGUGUUAUUAGUGUUCUUGUUUUGCUAAAUUUUGUAUAUUGUUAUCAAGAAUGAGAAGAUUGAUAGUGUUAUUAGUGUUCUGUUUUGCUAAAUUUUGUAUAUUGUUAUCAAAGAAAUGAGAAGAUUGAUAGUGUUAUUAGUGUUCUUGUUUUGCUAAAAUUUAGUAUAUUGUGUAUCAAUAAGAAUGAGAAGAUUGAUAGUGUUAUGAUGUUCUUGUUUGCUAAAUUUUGUAUAUUGUUAUAGAAAUGAGAAGAUUGAUAGUGUAUUAGUGUUCUUGUUUUGCUAAAUUUUGUAUAUUGUUAUCAAGAAAUGAGAAGGUUGAUAGUGUUAUUAGUGUUCUUGUUUUUGCUAAUUUUGUAUAUUGUUAAUGCAAGAAAUGAGAAGAUUGAUAGUGUUAUUAGUGUUCUUUUGUCUUGAAUAUUUUUAUUUGUUACAAGAAAUUGAGAGAUUGAUAGUGUUUAUUUUGUGUUUCUUGUAUCAAGAAACGUUGGACGCUGACCCUUUAGCAAAUCUCUCAAAAAUGAAAGCUUUGCUAAUUUUGUAUAUUGUUAUCAAGAAAUGAGAAGAUUGAUAGUGUUUUUAGUGUUCUUGUUUUGCUAAAUUUUGUAUAUUGUUAUCAAGAAAUAAGGAGAUUGAUAAUGUUGUUAGUGUUCUUAUUUUGCUAAAUUUUGUAUAUUGUUAUCAAGAAAUGAGAAGAUUGAUAGUGUUAUUAGUGUUCUUGUGUUGCUAAAUUUGUAUAUUGUUAUCAAGAAAUGAGAAGAUUGAUAGUGUUAUUAGUGUUGUUGUUUUGCUAAAUUUUGUAUAUUGUUAUCUAGAAAAUAGAAGAUUGAUAGUGUUAUUACUGUUCUUGUUUUGCUAAUUUUGUAUAUUGUUAUCAAGAAAUGAGAAGAUUGAUAGUGUUAUUAGUGUUCUUGUUUCGCUAAAUUUUGUAUAUUGUUGACCAGAAAUGAGAAGAUUGAUAGUGUUAUUAGUGUUCUUGUUUUGCUAAAUUUUGUAUAUUGUUAUCAAAAAAUGAGAAGAUUGAUAGUGUUACUAGUGUGCUUGUUUUGCUAAAUUUUGUAUAUUGUUAUCAAGAAAUGAGAAGAUUGAUAGUGUUAUUAGUGUUCUUGUUUUACUAAAUUUUGUAUAUUGUUAUCAAGAAAUGAGAAGAUUGAUAGUGUUAUUUAUCACGAAUAUGAGACGGAUUGAUAGUGUUAUUAGUGUUCUUGUUUUGCUAAUUUUGUAUAUUGUUAUAAGAAAUGAGAAGAUUGAUAGUGUAUUAUGUGUUCUUGUUUGGCUAAUUUGUAUAUUGUUAUCAAGAAAUGAAGCGAUUGUAGUGUUAUUAGUGUUCUUGUUUUGCUAAUUUUGUAUAUUUUCAAGAAAUGAGAGAUAUGAUUGAUAUUUUAGGUUAGUGUUUGCUAAGAUUGGUCUAGAGUAUAAUGGAAUUGAUAUUAGUUCUGUUCUUGUUUGCUAAAUUUGUAUAUUGUUAUCAAGAAAUGAGAGAUUGAUAGUGUUAUUAGUGUUCUUGUUUUGCUAAAUUUUGUAUAUUGUUAUCAAGAAAUGAGAAGAUUGAUAGUGUUAUUAGUGUUUGUGUUUGCUAAAUUUUGUAUAUUGUUAUCAAAAAUGAGAAGAUUGAUAGUGUUCUUGUUUUGCUAAAUUUUGUAUAUGUUAUCAAGAAAUGAGAAGAUUGAAGUGUUAUUAGUGUUCUUGUUUUGCUAAAUUUUGUAUAUUGUUAUCAAGAAAUGAGAAGAUUGAUAGUGUUAUUAGUGUUGUUUUUGCUAAAUUUUGUAUAUUGUUAUAAGAAAUGAGAAGAUUGAUAGUUGUUAUAGUGUUCUUGUUUGCUAAAUUUUGUAUUAGUUAUCAAGAAAUGAGAAGAUUGAUAGUGUAUUAGUGUCUUGUUUUGCUAAAUUUGUAUAUUGUUAACAAAUGAGAAGAUGAUAGUGUUAUUAGUGUUCUUGUUUUUUUUUAAAUUUUGUAUAUUGUUAUCAAGAAAUGAGAAGAUUGAUAGUGUUAUUAGUGUUCUUUUUUGCUAAAUUUUGUAUAUUGUUAUAAGAAAUGAGAAGAUUGAUAGUGUAUAGUGUUCUUGUUUGCUAAAUUUGUAUAUUGUUAUCAAGAAAUGAGAAGAUUGAUAGUGUUAUUUAGUGUUCUUGUUUUCUAAAUUUUGUAUAUUGUUAUCAAGAAAUGAGAGAUUGAUAGUGUUAUUAGUGUUUUUGUUUUGCUAAUUUUGUAUAUUGUUAUCAAGAAAUGAGAAGAUGAUAGUGUUAUAGUGUUCUUGUUUUUGCUAAAUUUUGUAUAUUGUUAUCAAAGAAUGAGAGAUUGAUAGUGUUUUUUCGUCUUAUUGUUCAUUUAUAGAGAUGUUAUGAUCGUAGUUAUUUAAUUGGUUCUCUUGUUUUGAAAUUUGUAUAUUGUUAUCAAGAAAUGAGAGAUUUGAUAGUGUUAUUAGUGUUCUUGUUUUGAAAUUUUCUAUAUUGUUAUAAAAAUAAGGAUGAUUUAGUAUAUUCGUGUAUAUGUUUGCUAUUAUAUUGUAUAUUGUUAUCAAGAAAUGGAAGAUUGAUAGUGUUAUUAGUGUUCUUGUUUUUCUAAUUUUUAUAUUGUUAUCAAGAUAAAUAGUAGAUUGAUAGUGUUAUAUAGUGUUCUUGUUUUGCUAAAUUUUUAUAUUGUUAUUAAGAAAUGAGAAAGAUCUGAGUUAUAGUUUCUUGUUCUUUGCUAAAUUUGUAUAUUGUUAUCAAGAAUGAGAGAUUGAUAGUGUAUUAGUGUUCUUGUUUUGCUAAAUUUGUAUAUUGUUAUAAAAUGAGAAGAUUGAUAGUUUUUGUUUGCAAUUGAUGGAUAGUGAAUAUAUUUUUAGUGUCUUAUAUAUUUGUUUUGUAAUUGUUAUCAAGAAAUGAGAAGAUUGAGUGUUAUUAGUGUUCUUGUUUUGCUAAAUUUUGUAUAUUGUUAUUCAAAAAUGAGAAGAUUGAUGUUAUGUUCUUUGUUUUGCUAAAUUUGUAUAUUGUUAUCAAGAAAUGAGAAGAUUGAAGUGUUAUUAGUGUUCUUGUUUUGCUAAAAUUUUGUAUAUUGUUAUCAAGAAAUGAGAAGAUUGAUAGUGUUAUUAGUGUUCUUGUUUGCCCAAAUUUGUGUAUAUUGUUAUUCAAGUAAAAGAGAGAUUGAUAGUUUUAUUAGUGUUCUUGUUUUGCUAAAUUUUGUAUAUUUUAUCAAGAAAUGAGAAGAUGAUAGUGUUAUUAGUGUUCUUGUUUUGCUAAAUUUUGUAUAUUGUUAUCAAGAAAUGAGAGAUGAUUAGUGUUAUUAGUGUUCUUGUUUUGUUUUUAAUUUUGUAUAUUGUUAUCAAGAAAUGAGAAGAUUGAUAGUGUUAUUAGUGUUCUUUUUUGCUAAAUUUGUAUAUUGUUAUUAAGAAAUGAGAAGAUUGAUAGUGUUAUUAGUGUUCUUGUUUUGCAAAUUUUGUAUAUUGUUAUCAAGAAAAUGAGAAGAUUGAUAGUGUUAUUGUUCUUGUUUUUGCUAAAUUUUGUAUAUUGUUACAAGAAAUGAGAAGAUUGAUAGUGUUAUUGUGUUUUGUUUUGCCUAAAUUUGUAUAUUGUUAUCAAGAAUGAGAAGAUUGAUAGUGUUAUUAGUGUUCUUGUUUUGCUAAAUUUUGUAUAUUGUUAUCAAGAAAUGAGAAGAUUGAUAGUGUUAUUAUGUGCGGUUUUCCUAAUUUUUUAUAUUUGUUAUCAAGAAAUGGAGUUGAUAGUGUUAUUAGUGUUCUUUUUUGAAAUUUUGUAUUUGUUAUCAAGAAAUGAGAAGAUUGAUAGUGUUAUUUUUCUGUUGUGUUUGCUAAAUUUUCGUAUUUGUUUAUAAGAAAUGAGAAAGAUUAUAGUGUUAUUAGUGUUCUUGUUUUGCUAAAUUUUAGUAAUUGUUAUUCAGAAAAUGAGAAGAUGAUAGUGUUAUUAGUGUUCUUGUUUUUCUAAAUUUUGUUAUAUGUUAUCAAGAAAUGAGAAGAUUGAUAGUGUUAUUAGUGUUCUUGUUUUGCUAUAUUUUGUAUAUUGUUAUCAAGAAUGAGAGUUAGUAGUGUAUUAGUUUUUCUUGUUGAUUUGUAUUAUUUUAUCAAGAAAAUGAGAAGAUUGAUAGUGUUUUAGUGUUCCUUGUUUUGCUAAAUUUGUAUAUUGUUAUCAAGAAAUGAGAAGAUGAUAGUGUUAUUAGUGUUCUUGUUUUUUUAAAUUUUGUAUAUUGUUAUAAGAAAUGAGAAGAUUGAAGUGUUAUUAGUGUUUCUUUUUUGCUAAAUUUUUAUUUUGUUAUUAAGAAAUGAGAAGAUUGAUAGUGUUAUUAGUGUUCUUGUUUUGCUAAAUUUUGUAUAUUGUUAUCAAGAAAUGAGAAGAUGAUAGUUUAUUAGUGUUCUUGUUUGCUAAAUUUUGUAUAUUGUUAUCAAGAAAUGAAGAUUGAUAGUGUUAUUAGUGUUCUUGUUUUGCUAAAUUUUGUAUAUUUUAUCAAGAAAUGAGAGAUUGAUAGUUAUUUAGUGUUCUUGUUUUGCUAAUUUUGUAUAUUGUUAAUGAAGAAUGAGAAGAUUGAUAGUGUUAUUAGUGUUCUUGUUUUGCUAAUUUUGUAUAUUGUUAUCAAGAAUGAGAGAUUGAUAGUGUUAUUAGUUGUUCUUGUUUUGCUAAAUUUUGUAUAUUGGUUUAUCAAAAUGAGAAGAUUGAUAGUGUUCUUGUUUUGCUAAAUUUUGUAUAUUGUUAUCAAGAAAUGAGAAAUUGAUAGUGUUAUUAGUGUUCUUGUUUGCUAAAUUUUGUAUAUUGUUAUCAAGAAAUGAGAAGAUUGAUAGUGUUAUUAGUGUUCUUGUUUUGUCUUGAAGUGUUCUUGUUUUGCUAAAUUUUGUAUAUUGUUAUCAAGAAAUAAGAAGAUUGAUAGUGUUAUUAGUGUUCUUGUUUUGCUAAAUUUUGUAUAUUGUUGUCAAGAAAUGAGAAGAUUGAUAAUGUUGUUAGUGUUCUUGUUUUGCUAAAUUUUUUAUAUUGUUAUCAAGAAAUGAGAAGAUCGAUAGUGUUAUUAGUGUUCUUGUUUUGCUAAAUUUUGUAUAUUGCUAUAAAAAAUUAGAAGAUCGAUAAUGUUAUUAGUGUUCUUGUUUUGCUAAAUUUUGUAUAUUGUUAUCAAGAAAUGAAAAGAUUGAUAAUGUUAUUAGUGUUCUUGUUUUACUAAAUUUAGUAUAUUGUUAUCAAGAAAUGAGAAGAUUGAUAGUGUUAUUAGUGUUCUUGUUUUGCUAAAUUUUGUAUAUUGUUAUCAAGAAAUGAGAAGAUUGAUAGUCUUAUUAGUGUUCUUGUUUCGCUAAUUUUGUAUAUUCUUAUCAAGAAAUUAGAAGAUUGAUAGUGUUAUUAGUGUUCUUGUUUUGCUAAAU